CUUUCACACCAGGACUUCCUGGGGCUCCACUGUUGCCUUGAUACCCCUGAAGAAGGAGAGGACAGCACAGUCACCCAGAGGCAGGGGCCCUGAGGCAUGGUCACGCCUGUGCGGUGUGUGGUGUGGAGCCCCUAUUAUCUUCCAGCGGAAUCUGCUUGCCAGGCACAUGGGGGCCCUGCAGGGUCCCCUGGAACUUGUUCAGCCUCGUGAGGAGGGCACAGGUCAGAGGGGCUGGUGGCUCAGGGCACAUGGCCUGUUCUUCCUGUCCCUCCCCGUGUCCCCAGAGCCCAAUGCGGCACCAUGGUGACAGCAGAGAUGGUGGCCAGCGUGACUGUUCAUCUGGGCCAUGGGCGUGAGUGUGGCCAGCUCAGCUGCAGGCGAAGAGGCAGAGGGGCUCACCUUGCUUCCCUUGGCCCCGAUUUCUCCCGGGGGCCCUCUGCGUCCUGGGCGGCCAGGGUCCCCCUGGA
rnacentral:lncRNA from 1 species